rnacentral:lncRNA from 1 species
UUCUUAUGACACUUGAUUUAGUAUUUGAGUUUUUUGUCUUAUCAGCCAAAACCAUUCUGCUAAAUGGCUGCAAGAUAGACUAAAUCACCUCACUGUACUCUCCUAAUCUCCAUAAUGCUCAAUAUUUCUUCAAUAAAUGAGCAAAUAUUUUUUCACAUCAAUAGUAAAGAAUUAAGAAUGAGAAAUUUUACUUACCAUUCAGUUUAGUAUAACUUAUAAAGAAUGAAUUAACUUUUGAUUGAUGACACAAGCAAAUUAUAAAUAAAAUCUGAUAAGUUACAUGGUACUGCCUUUUUGUUUAAAUGGUUUCAGAAUCUUUUAAAAUCCAGUUUACUCUUCUUGGUGAUUUAGCGAUACAUUGGCUUCUAAGAUCAAAAAAACUAUCACGUUUUAUUAUACAAAUAGAAAAAAAGACACUAAGUUGAUUUCAUAUUUCUUAAAAGUUCUGUUUCAAAUUCUCAAACCUGAUACAACUAUACAAUAGUGUUAGCAACACAUAUGCUAAAUUUCAAUACUGUAACAGUAACAUGAAUUUCCCUCCACUAUACUACAAUUCCUUAGAUAUCUAAUGAUUGAUAAAACUAUGCUUACAUAUUUGCUUCCUGUUACCUUAAUUUUUGUGCUUCUCAAAAAAGGCAGCAAAAAGUUAAAAAAAUUAUCAUUACAAUUUAAUGAAGAAAUGAGUGUUUUAAAACAUUAUUACUUUAGUAUUUCUGUAUCUGUGUAAAAGCUGUGUAAUUCCAGCUUUUAAUAUUUUGUAUUUUCUAAAAGUAAACUGUAGUGUAGCUCAAAAUUUACUUUCCUUAGCAUCUCUAGGCACAAGCUGAAACGAAACUGUUUGUACAUUAAGGAAUUAGGCACAAAUGAUCCUGGGUAUUAGUCAAUUUGUCAAAACCGAAAACCAUUUCAGCCACUACUCUGACCUUCUUCUUUCCAUUUUGUUUAGCCGAUGGGCCUGUCAGAUCUUGACAGCCACAACACCAUACGCUACAAUCAAAGCCAGAUGACAUUUUGGCACGGCAGCAGUUUUAUGAAAUGAUGUGCUAUUUUUCUGUUUUUUGAUGGUUUGAGAUAAAUCAAUGACAAGUCCAGAUAUUAAAAAAUUCUGAAGAAAACAGCAUGGCAAAUUUCUCCAUUCCCCAGCUUUAUCUUUUCCUAUGGACUUCCAGAGUGGUUUGUUGCUUUUUUUUUAAAGAUUUUAUUUAUUUGUUCGUAAGAAACACACAGAAAGAGAGGCAGAGACACAGGCAGAGGGAGAAGCAGGCUCCAUGCAGGGAGUCCAACACUGGGACUCGAUCCAGGACUCCAGGUCACGCCCUUAGCCGAAGGGACUAAACCACUGGGCCAACCAGGCAUCCCAAGUGAGGCCCUUUAAAUAACUACCACCACCUAUUUUCUGCCUAUGUUCCAUCUCCUCUCAAUCCAACUGAGGGGGAAAAUGUAAUACCUAAAAAUCAUCCUCAAUACCUCAUCUGAGCACUCAUUUUAUUCUUUCAAUGGGUUUAUUGAACACCUGCUACAUACCAACCACUGUAUGAGGCAUAAGGAAUACAAAGUUGAACACUGACAACAAAAACAUAGUUCCUGGUCCCCAUGAAGUUUACAGUCUGGAGUGUCUACAUUGAUCAAGUGAAUAUUGAUCAAAUUACAAAGAUGUAAAAUUACAAAGAUGUUCAAUGCUAAGUAGAGGUAUGCAUUCAUGUGAUAAUAUACAACAGUGGGUCUUACUGCAUGACCCAAAUUAAGGAACGCUUCCCUGAGGAAGUGAUGAAUAAACUGAGAUCUGAAAGACAAAUAAUUCCACUCGGCAACGAACAGGGGGAAGGUAUUUCAAGCCAAAGGAACAGGAACAAAGGUUCCUCUGGUAGAAGCAGCACUUUAAGUCUCACUCCAUAUACUUCAAGACCAAUGAGGUACCAGGAACUGAAACGAUGAGGCUAAGCAGCUAUAGGUAACAACUAACCGCUACCAUGAGUUUUUCAAAUUACGUGCCAGCCACUGUUCUAAUGUUUUGAGAUGUUAAUUCUUUCAAUGCUCAGAACUAUACUAAAAAGUAAAUAGCGGCUCUAAUAUAGAGGUCACAUAAAUAUUUUUGUUUUCAUCUUAAAGAGCAAGAAAAAGUCAUCCAAGUAUUUCAUGCGAGGGUUGAGAACGGGUGGGGGACUGCCUCAAUUACAACUGCACUUCAAAAGAGAAUCCUGCCUGCAGUGGAGUGGACUGGAGGAGGGCCAGAGUAGCUGCAGGAAGAGUGGUCAGGAGGCAACUGCAAUGAAGCAGGCAAAAGGUGCUGAUUGUAGCCAGGGAGGUGGUGAGAAGCGGUGAGAAGCAGAGACACACACACUUGAGCAGUGAUAGAAUCUGGUGAAGAACUGACAGGGUGAGCGGCCGGGGUAGAGGGUGGGGGUAAGUCAGGGAAUGGAAAAUGUCUAAGAGUGGUUCUAGGCUACCAGUUUGGAAGCCAGGAUGGUGAUGGUGCCAUGCAUUGAAAUAGGAAAUGCCUUGAUUAGAGUGCAGGUUAAUACAAACUUGUUGAAGUGGAAUUCCUAUGAUGACAAAGCCAAGAACUACAAUAAAAAUCCAGAAAGGAGUUUCUGGUUAAAUUUUCCACAUAUAUUUCAUGCAAUUGCACACAGCCAUUCUUACAGGGCUUAAAUAAAAACAACACUUCAUCACAACUAAUGGCACAUGGUGGUCUUUUGAAAUUCCAGGACAAAAUGAGAAAAGGAAAAUAAAUACAAGAUACCAAGAAAAUGUUUCUGACAUACAUAAAAUUAAAAGGCAAAACAUGAUAUGUUUUAUCUUAAGGAAAUGAUUUUCCUUCCCUGAUCCCUAACACCUCUGCUAAAGAUUUACAAAAGAAAUAAAUAAAAAUAUGGCAACUUUUUUUCCUAAUUUAUGGUCAUUAAAUAACUCUAAGUUUAUCAUAGGUUUAUUCCUGUAUUUUUCACACUGUGAAAAAGGUUGGGGUUAACAUAAACCAUAAUCCCUCUACUAUCUUUUAAGUAGUUUGAAAAAUAUACACAUAUCCCCCCAAUUAAAAAUAUAUUUAUCUUUAAAAGAAAAACAGAUAAAAUAAGAGAUUCCUCUCCCCACCUCUGGCAAAACCUGUAAAUUAAUGACAUAGGUAAAAAACAAACAAAAACGUAACUGGGAUCUUAAUCAAAAGGUCAGGUCAUUAAUUGUGAUUUCAAAUCG